GUUUAAUGUUAUUGUUAUUGAUGAUUUGUUUAUCGAUUGUUAGUAAUUAAUACUUACCUUAUACAAGUAUUAAUUUAAUAUAUGCAAGUAUUAUUUCAGAUUUCAAUAACUUUUAAUGAAAAAUCCUCGAACAAGACCCAUAAACAAAAGACAAAACACCGAACUAUGUUGUCAGAAGCAAAGGGGAUAGAGGAUAAGAUAAUUAUUUUACUAAUUAAAUUGGUUUUGGAAAGCGCCUUAAAUUAUGGAACUAAAACAUGGGACAUCAAGUAAGAAAUAUAAGAAAAGAAUUAAAAGUUUUACAGACGUUGUGCAAAGAUAAUUAAGAAUACAUAGAAUUAUAAAUGAGGGAACUAAAAAAG